AGUAUUCCUUUUUCACGAGAUCUUAACUAUUCCACUCAAUCAUAUAUAUUUAUAGCAUAAAUAUGAUCUGCUAUGAGGUAUGCGCAUUUUGAUACUUGUUAGCACUGUGGUUGUCAAUGGAUGUUUGGCUAUUUAUUUGUAGAUGGAACUAUUGUGGGGUAUGGAAAAUGUUUUUUUAGUUUUUGAGCUAAGUAACUACUACUUUAAUUAAGGUAGUUAUGGAUAAUUAGUUCACACAUAGGAAAUUGAUAUGUUGCAGUGUUUACCAGGCAUGGCGUGGUUUGGCAGGUCGUCACGAAGUCCCCAACGCUAUCACUGGCCGGACCUACGACUAUACUAAGAUGAGUCUUCAUCUCUAAAAGCUUCUGUAAACUAUAUAAUGGGUCUAUUAUUCUAACCAGCAAUGAAUUUAAGUAGCAAUUUCAUUUCUCCAUGGUUAGUUGUAUAAUUGCCUGCCAACACUGACACUAAUUGACAGCCAACCAUGACCAUCAAUUUAAUUUGACUUAUUAAUUUCCAACUAUUUUUCCAUAUAAGGCUCAAUAUAUAUGAAACUAUGAAACUUACAUACGAACAUGACUUGACUGUUGGUUGUGAAUUAUUAAUGGAGAACAUGCAGCCAAUGUUUUUGAAUGAUUUUGCACAUGAAUUAUCUGGUUAUUGUUCACUAUGGGUGCAUGUGUAUUAUUGGGUUUGAGCCUUAGGCAUGCAACAAUGAGAUCUAUUUUUAUUGUCUUGUUAACUACUUAAUCCGAAAUCAUUCAUCAAGUUUGAUCUUAAAUAUUAUAUCACAAUACUUUUGAUACAACAAAAAUUACUUCAACUUGCCAUGUGGAAAAUCCAGUUAGAGCAUAUCCAUGUGUAUGUUUCCUAUGAAUGGUACGGGAUUUACAAACUUAAAAGAUACUACAUAUUUGACAAAUAUUUUUAACCAAAAAUGUUUGAAUUAUUUGUUCUGAUAUGGAUGUUUGACUGAUUGCAAUGAUGAUUGUUCGUAGUUUUUUCGAACUGUGUAAGCAUAGAUUUACAUUUUGUAGACCUGGUGCAACGCACAGGGCUUUUAUUACAUGAAAGGACUUAUUAUCCUGACAGUCAUAAUUUCAAGAUUUUCAUAAGUGUUUGUUUAUUUGUUUGUUGUCUGCCAUGUUAAGAAUUGCAUGCAUGCUUUUAUUGAUAUAAAAUGUGCUUCAGAAAAUCACGUGUUAUGAAUCCAUGCUAUAAUUUUGAAGGUGAACAUACAGAAAAUGCAAGAUAAAACAUACUAAUAUAACAACUAUUACAAUUUUAGAGAAGAUAAAGAUCCAGAAUUGUUCGUACCUAGAGGAACUCGACUUCUAGAUGGUCCUUGCUUACACAAGGUACUCCUUGGGUAAUUUUCCUCCAGGUCUGCUGUUGUGAUGGCCGAACGAACAACAAGGAGGGGGAGGACGGAUGGCAGACAAGGUUAACAUAUAUAGGUAGGACAUGCGGAGAAUAACUGGGUAGCAGAUCAUGGCUGAAUAUAGUUAUACCAUAUAUAACCUUGUUUUCUACCAUAUAUACCAUUGUUGAUGGUGCAGAUCUGUUUCCUUUUUUCCAUCAAAUGCACACCUGUUAAUAAUUAAAUGAACAGAUUUUCAUUGCUUGCAUGCCAAAGUUUAGCUACAACAAAAAUAAAUUCACGGCAUGCACAAUAAUCAUUUUCCUGCUUAGAUACUUUUGUACGAUUUAACAAUUUUUACUAAUACUUCAUUCCAUAUUAUGGUAGUAAUGUACAGUCUCAAUUUACUUUUUGCAGUUGUAAUAUCUGAGAGACCACACAAGUUCGAUGAAUGCUUUCAAUUCGAAUUUCUCCAUGGUUUCCCAAUGCCAAAGGUAACCAAUACUAAUUCUGGAUGCAUGAAAUCAAGUACUUAUUUUAGAGCUGAUGUUGAUCAGUAGGCAUUGACAUGAUAAGUACAUAUAGUUAUUUUUGCCAAAUAUAAUUCAUGACUUUAUGGAUCUUUUGCAAUAUCGUGUAUGGACUUUACUAUUUAGGGCUGCCCGUGCGUUAAUGUGGGAGUUGUAGUAAUUAUACAAGUAUAGUAAGCUAUACUUCUGCUACGUACUGCACAUGGAAUAAAACUUGCAUUCACUGCUAUAAUUCAACAUUUGUUGUGAGCCUAGGACCACAUACAACAACUUAAUAUUGCAUCAAGUUGAGAACUACCUAGAAAGCUAUAAAAUUUUGCAACAAAAAGGCACCAACUCUCUAUCUUCUGCCACAUAGAGGUCCCCAAGACCACCUGAACUUUCAUUCAAAUGGAUGAUAAAUCACUACACAUCAACAUUAGCUCCAACAUAUAUGGUGUACAAACCAAACUGAGACUUGUGAGGGAGACAAAAAGAUCGAGUUUAAUCAUGGUCCCACAUAUUCCUAGUUUUCCUUGCUACCGUUAUUUCGAACCGUGCACACAAGUAUUCAGGAAUUAACUUUCAUAGACAGAGGAAUUAGCAGGAAGACACAGAGGAUUAGUACAGGUUGCACAGUAUAUUCUCUGAAACACAAGAGAAAGCACAACCAGCUUCCUCUUCCCAGCGCCAAAGCCGCCAACCCCUCUGCAUCCUCCGUGAGCAGAGCAGAUCAAAGCCGGCACCAAGACAACACGCCUGCUUCAAGCCAUUAAAGGAAACCACUCUACAUACUCGGCUGCAGUCGUGCCCAUGCACACCAAGGCACCGUAAGCAUACAACAGGCUGGCCGCGCGCGAGGGACAGAGCUACGUGAGGGAGAGGGGCACGGGGAUCUCGGCAGAAUUUUUCGUGAAUGGAGCGUGGCACGAGGGGGGAAUAUUCGUCCCUUCGGCAGAGUAUAGUCCGUCAGUUAAAUGCUACGUGCAAUCAUAACCUCCGUUUUAGGCCUUUAGAUAAUCUGGUGGACCAAAUUAAUCUUGGUACACAUAAUGGGGUGGUCAUAGAAAAGAAAAUGUUCAUUUGGUUAAGAGUAGUAUAGAUAUUAACACAAUUCGAGGCGCAAUGCUGCUGCCGAAGGAUGUAAAUAUCCUGUGCACACACAUGCAUUUGCCUAGUUUAGGAAAAACAUUAAACCCUAGCGACUCAUCUCAUAUAGCGUCAAGCCCUAUUACCCAUGUACAGCUUGCACAGAUGGGGCUAACAGCUCAUUCAUGGCAAACAACAAAAUGAUUCAUUCAGGACGUUGCAACAAAAUCAAUUAAUAAUCCAACAAUAUGGUAAUAAAACCAAACUUCAAUAAUACCAAAACACCAUAAAGUUUGAAUAGUUUGAUAAUACCAAAACAUCCUAAAAUUUGUGAACAUACGUAUAUAGAAGACCCCAUAUAGUAUUCAAAUCGAUGCAAAACAGAUCUGAAUUAUAGAAAAAUAUUAUUGGCAUAUCUGCAUGCAUCAGUCCAUCUUCAAUUGCUUACAACCCUCAGAGCCGCUCUAAUCUCUGGCGGGAUGUUUGCAGCAACUUCAUUGUCUUUGAACAUUAACAUCUGGACCGUAACAUGGUGUCUGAGCUGAAUUGGAUCCUAGGAAAGGCGCAAAAACUCAACCAUUUAAUAAACUGCUUGGAUAAUAAUUAGCAAACAUCAACUCAUAAUUUAAGUACUUACGGUAGUGUUCAUCCAGCCCAUGCUACGUAAACGACCGAUCUGGUGGGCCAUCUCCUGUAGCACAAAGAAGCCGGAGUGUUUGCUGCGUCAAAAAAAUAUUAAACAUUAUAAUGGUCUGCAUCUUAUGUAUGCGAUCAAUUUAGUAGAUUACCGGCGAGCAGAACAGGACAUGGACUCUUCUUCCCAAUCCAUUAUGUGUGUGUUCCAAUCAGCGAUCCUAGUCUGCAACACAGUGUUGAAUUCUUCCUUCAGCAGUGUGAUUUCCUUCCUCAUCAAAAUGUUAUGAGUGCUAUCUUCAGGAUCAAACGUGUUGAAGGAUGGAUCCAUCACGACAACCCUCCUCCUCAGCCGGUUGACUACAAGUAACCCAUACGACGAAUCCGAAAGUUUGAACGGUAGUAGAUACUGUGGCAGGUCGACACAUGUCAAUUGCAAUUAUAAUAAGUAAAAUUAACCUUAAGAAAGAGCGUGUCUUACAAUUAUAGACUUGAACACAUCAUAUUUAGGAAGAGGCUGGACCACAACAUAGUUAAUCAGCAUCGUGAUACGCUCUCCUAGAGUCAUCCAGGAGUACCUCAAGGCCUGUGAUUGAGAAUGAAACUGCAAGUCGAAAUAAUGUUUGCUCCCAACCCAGUUGGUGCCUGCGGUCCUCUCUAAUUCAGCGCUCGCAAGCUUACGUACAACAAGGUUGAAGCAUUCGGGAUGAAGUUUUUUUAUGAAAAAAAGGGUGUCCUGGAUCAUUCGGAGGGUGAUGUCGAUCUGGUACGGCAAGGAGCUUCGUAUCCAUAUUGAUCUGGAAAAAAAAUGCCCAACAACAUUUAGGAAAAGACCUUAAUGGUCAUCUUCUAGUUUAACUUUGUCUAUAGUAACCUGUAAACCGAAUUCAUGACAUUGCAUGAGGUCAGAUUGUCCUCACCUAGAUGUUUCUACACGUAUCGAAUCUAUAAUCUGUUUUCAUGGGCUUUGCAUGACAUAGUUCAUGUAACGUCCAAUCCAACUAAAAAAACGUAGACAUGUACCUAUGAAUAUUUUAGGAUUGCCCAUUUAGCUAACUUUCCUUGCUGUGUAAAAGGGUGUUCAAACAAGAUUGGUAUAUAGCAAAAUAAUGUAUAAUAAGACAACUUACUUUAAUGUAUCUUCGUCUCGAAUGCCCAUGAUACUGUGAAAUAUGUAUUGGAGUGCAUCUUCCACGGCGUGCAUUGGUGGGGGCAAAAGAUCCAUGGGCGUAGGCACAUCCUCCUGGGGACCGGGAACAUCCUCCUGGGCGGCAGGCGCACCCUCUUCGGGUGCGUGCGCAGCGUUCCCAAUGAUCGCCUCCAUUGGAUAGAAAAUUAUUAGUUCUUUAGUUCUCGAUCGGAAAUUGCUGAUGGGAUAUAUGUGAACUUGUGUGGGUGGUUAAAUAGUAGGCAGAUGCAAUUUAUCAUUUUGUUACCGUGACAUCUAAUAAUUUGGAGAGUUGAUAUUCCCUUCCAAAUUAUCAGCGUCGUCUAAAUAAAGCAGUUAUUCAUUUCCAUGUAUACAAUAUUUUUACUUGUGGACGGAUCUGAUCUUAGUCCCAGUAUCAGAUAAUAUAUUCCUGAUUCCAUUAUUUUAGCACACUUGUUUUGUCAGUACAACACAAAGGGAAAUAAAAGAAACUUCCUUUUCCUCCUCCCCGUGGUCGUCUGUAUGUACAAGCAUUAUAUCAUUAUUAGGGUAAUCAUAUCUCUAGAUUUAAUACGAUCUUAUUUUUCUAUCCCAGACAAAUGAAAUAAUGACGCUUUAUUAACUCAUAUUAAUAUAUACACCUAUGGAUUGCAACAGAGUACGUCUGCUAAUAAAUCAGAUAAGAUGUAAGAGAUCCAAACAUGCUUAAAACAAUUUUGUUUCUUUACUAUCUCUUUAAGUUACAAAAUAGUUUUUAUGAUGUGUAAAAUUUUCGCGUAUAAAAAUGCAAUAUAUACAAUCUGUGAUUUCUAUAUUAAAAUAUUAAAGUUGUAACGGUGAAGUAAAAAUGAACUAUUUGUUCACUUGUUUUAUUACUAAAAAAUAAUGCUUUGGCCUUUUAUUUUUCUGUUAUGGUUUACUGUAUAUAAAUUCAUUGUAGUUACCUUUUGAUGUUUUGAUUUGACAUAUUUUAUUAUGAAGCUAAGCUUCUAGACACACAUCUCUUCUGGUUGUUAUGUGUAUGAAUUGACAUUAAGCAUGAAGCUAUUUCGACUGGUAUGUCAUAUUUUCUGCUUUCUUGAACUCGUCGUGCUCAUGGUAGCAUGGGAUUUCCUUGAUACUAAUAUAUCGUAUUACAUAUGCCUGUUUUCAGUGUAAGUGUGUUAAUUUAUCAACAAAACCUUGGUGAAUCUACAAUCAGGGGGAGCCUUG
rnacentral:lncRNA from 1 species